rnacentral:rRNA from 1 species
GUCUACGGCCAUACCACCCUGAACGUGCCCGAUCUCGUCUGAUCUCGGAAGCUAAGCAGGGUCGGGCCUGGUUAGUACUUGGACGGCAGAUGUGCCCAAGCAAAGCUCUUGCACGUGGGCACCAGAAGCUGUCAAGA